rnacentral:rRNA from 1 species
AUGCAUCAGAUGGCAUGUUGCUUGAUGGUAUCAGAAAAAUGCUGCAAAAGAGUGAUGAAAGGAAACAAAGGAGAAUGUUUUGAAGGAGCAAAGCAGGAAGGGGUCAUGCAGGCUGUUUUGUUACUGGCAAGGAACCAUGCAGGGAUCUGUCCAUCCAUCGAACCGCAACCGCGCCUGGUCUGGUCGCCGUCAACACACGCCGCUGCGACGUGUCAUGCCACCACGCACCGCCAUGGCCUACUGUUGCCAGGACCGCACGCCGUAGUCCCUAGCUGGGGCAAAAAAAUGUUCUGCAAAAUAACGCAUGGAUGA